GACCGUCCACACGGGAGUCCCGGGUACGGGGACUGAGAGUGAGCCCGCCGGCUCUGACCGUCGCACCUGAUCCGGGUCAUGCCGGCGAAGGGAGUAGCAGCUGUGAACCC
rfam:Mycobacterium obuense strain TC1 Mobu_contig000094, whole genome shotgun sequence.